rnacentral:rRNA from 1 species
UACAGAGGUCUCAAGCGUUGUUCGGAUUCAUUGGGCGUAAAGGGCGCGUAGGUGGCCCGGUCAGUCGAUGGUGAAAGCGCGGGGCUCAACUCCGCGUCGGCCGUCGAUACUGCUGGGCUUGAGCACUGUAGAGGCAGGCGGAAUUCCGGGUGUAGCGGUGGAAUGCGUAGAGAUCCGGAAGAACACCGGUGGCGAAGGCGGCCUGCUGGGCAGUGGCUGACACUGAGGCGCGACAGCGUGGGGAGCAAACAGG